GGAGUUUGUCGGCAGCAACAGGCACGGUCUCCAGAAGAAGGUGUGUGCAACCAUACCUUUAAUCCCAGAUGACCUUGAACUCAGAGAUCUCCUUAUCUUAAUCUUCUGGAAUUCAUAGCCACUAUACCUCAAGAUCUCCAUGCCAAGAUCCAGGUCAGAAACUUGUAUCUCCCAGCCUCCAGAUUAGGAUCACAGCAUGGGGCCUGCUGGGACUCGUCUCCUGCUAUGCUUCAGCUCCUGCCCAAUCACUUACCUGUGCCAGGAGAAGCCUCUGGACAUGCCUGGGCAGCCUCUGGACAUGCACUGCUCCCAUUCCUCGCUGAGAGGGCAUCUCCCCGAGUGCCUCUCCAUCCCAGUAGACUCUCCAGAUGUGCCCAGUCCUCAACUGGUGUGGCCUCACCAGAGAGACUCAGACCAAACAGGCCUCCACAGCCUCUCUCUAGACACUUUCUGGGAAACCACAGUGGAAUACAAAAGGUCCUCAUUUGCCCUGAACCCUGGGAAGCCCUGUGGCAUUGGUUCAUGAGUGCUGUGGUUGGUUAUUUGGAACUUAAUUCUCUUGGUAUUUGCCACUUCCCAGUUGUCCCCUUUACUGUUCACAGUCCCCACCUAUAAUCCUCGGCUUCCUGGCACUUCCGGAGCCCAUAUUAACGUACCAAUUUUUUGUACCCCAUUUAGGGCACCAACUGUUCUGAUCUCUUGAAGAGCUCCUCAGGCAACCUUCUGUUUCUAGCAAGAUGAUACACCCAAGCCUUGAUGACAAGGCUUGGCUCUCAACCUCCUUGCUCCCCACCUCCUGUGAAAUACACAAAGAAAUUCAGUGAUCAUCGGGGAUGCUCUGGUCCAAACACUACCUGCCAGCCAGACGCAGGAGAUGGAUGGCUCAGCAGUAAUCGUGCUGCUUGAGCUUGGUGUCUAAUGGGGACAGUAGUGACAGGAAGUUCACAGGGACUGGAAGACAUGAGUUCUCUGAGGGAAAGGAAGGUGAAGCCUGGUGCUUAGGACCCUCAGGAGACCAUAGGAUGUGAGAAGGCUCAAGACACCCAGAGGUGGGGUCAGAAACAGGGCAAAGGAGACCAAGCAUGGGAGAGCUGCAGUGGACGUGUACAGACAGGAGAAGCAGGCCCUAAAGAAUCCCUGAGGCGGCAGAGAGGCUGGGCUGUGGAACUUUUUAAUUACUUUGCAUUAGGGGACUGUAGAGACCCAGAAGCCCACCCUUCCCCUCCCCUCAUCAGCUUAGCCCCAACAUAUGGUGGCUACCAAAGUAGUUAAAUCGGCUCUUGGUAGAAAAGGAAAGAGAUUCCUCCCAGGCUCUUCCCAGGGUCCACGGCCACACUCCAGGAGGGCUCAACUCCAGGGCAAGGCAGCUGGGACAGCAGGCAGCUGAAGGAGGACUAUUACUGCACCUUAGGGAAGAGUGCAGUGGCGAGUGGGGAGGACUCUGCUGGGACCCGGGGGUCAUGUGCAUUCCCAUUUAGUUGAGCUCUGCUUAAUCCGGGCCUAGGCUCACAGUAAUGGGGAACGAGGAGAGGCUCCCAUCAGAGACCAAGAAGAUGACAGACUCUCUGUAAAGGCUGUCAGAGGGGUCUGCAUGACCAACCACACCUGCUCCUGUUCCUUUGGGGCUCUUGUGACCUCCCUGUCUUCUUGUGAGAUCUUAUGUUCCUCCAACCCUGAGAGCUACAAACCAAUCUCCGGAAUAAAAAAAUCUGUCCCUCGUGCUGUCA
rnacentral:lncRNA from 1 species